UGUUCACCACUUUCAUGUUUCUGCUCAUUUUCGGGUCUGAUUAGGUUUUGAAAUUUAAGUUUUGUGACCUUAAAUCUAAGCGCAAGACGAUCCUGUCAGCCCGUUGAGAUCCUGCAGAGCUUAAGGAUCGACUUCGGAGUGGCUUCGACACUCAGGGGAGAGAAUUUGCGGGGAGCUUUUCGCAUACUUCAGGUACUCGAGGAAUUGCCAGGAUUCCGAAGCUGUUUAGCCCUGCACCUGAACGAUAAUCCUGUUUCGUCAACGUUAGGGGGCUGCCUGUGUAGAAUUGCUCCUCAGAGUUCAUUUCAGAAGGUGGGAUUCGCACUUGGUGUGAUGUCUUCCUUACAAUUCUGCAUCUGGUUUCCGGCUCUUGCUGAUUUUGUUACUUUCGUGUAACGACUUGUUUCUUGAUCUUUAGCUUGAGAGCGAUCAUCGCGACACAGACCUUAGUACCUGUGCUCAAGGAUGAGUGGACUAGGCUUUAGAUUGUUGAAUGCCCUAGAGUUGGGUUAUGCUAGGUCGUGAAUUAUGUGUUCUUAAUGUGUGUAGUUUUAUCGUAUGAACAUUGCGAGGCUGCAUGUUUGGGAGUACUUCUUCACCUUUGGGGCUUCAUAUAUGUCAUAUUCACGUGAGAUGUAGGAAGGGUGUACUCAGUGUUCGUGUCAUUUGUUGCCAGGGUUGCGGAUUCCCAUUUUAACACAAACGUCAAACGUUGGAGGCAAUAGGCAGAGUGUCCCUGUCGGGGAGAAAUGGGUCGUAACUGAUCACUUUGUCUUGCAGCAAUACGAUUAGGGUGUCGGAAAUUGUUGGCUCAGAGGUCUAUGAGUUAGAACAAAGAACUAGGAUGGAAUGGUGUUGAUGUCCCGUAGAAGGCCAUGAUUCUGUUCACUUUAGUCACUCGUUUGUUCAAGGGCUACUGUUCGCUUCUGUUCCGUUUCUUAGUUGAAGCUGUACGAGAAUCACCGAUUGACCCGCGUGUCCGACAUCUCAUCCUGAGAAGACUCUUGCAUAGUCCUCUGGAAUUGCCGGCUGAAUAUGAGUCUGAAUAGCGCAGAGUUGGGUGGCCAAGCCAAUCAAGGGCUGUCCCAGCAAGCUCUGCAAGAACCAUCGUACGGUUCAAAUGUUUACGUCACUGAGCAGGAACAGAAGCACUGGAAGUGCAACAAGAAGCUUAGGAGGCCAUCAAGCGGGUGUACAUUAAGCUUAUGUCUGCUAAGGAGAAAACAGAUCUAGCAUCUGAACAGGCAUAUUUUUGAGUUCAUGUUGCAGCCCAGUAUUUUACAAAAGUUGCUACAAGAUAAUUCUGGAAAGAGAUUAAUGGUAGCUCAAAUCUCGUCAAAUGGCUGGCUUCAGGUCAUGGCUGAGCAGGAAAUGGACAAAAGAGUUGCGAUGCAAGCAGCUGUAGAGGCUACUGAGAAGGUUACAAGUGAAAAGAAAGAAAGAGCAUGGAGCGCGUUGCACUAUGCAUUGGAGGCCAAGCGGGUAAUGUAGGAACACAUGAACACACGAACUUCAUUUUGUCGUCGAGAAGCUAAUUUUGAUAUUUGCAGCAUUUGGAUUUCCAAUUUAAGUUAGGAACCAGCCGGCUAAGUCUCAAGUCCCUAAUCAAUUUGCAUUAAUACCAGACUGUUUAACAAAAUACUGUACAUGUGUUUUCACAACUAUUUCAGAUUCCUCAGAGGGUGUUCCUUCAUGUACAGACAGCUCAUCUAGACACAUGGGUCAAUGGAACGUGAAGCUUCCAACCUUCCGAUGUAAUCGGCGAUAUUUGUUAGUAGCGUUUCUGAUAAUAAAUGAAAUUGUCUCAGUGGAAGUUGUGUGAUAA